UUAAAUUUUUUUUGAGGCAUGUGGCAUGGUGGAGUUCAAAUUAAACUGAACUGCUGAGUAGUUGUGUUUUAGUGGGUUAAUAGGGAGUGUUUUUAGGAGAUAAUUGGGGAGAAGUUAUCAAAAUAAGAUUUUCUUCUUAGCAGUUUUCUAUUUUCUUUUUUUUUCCAACAAAUUUUCUGACGUUAAACUUUUGUUUCUCUGCCGUGUCUUCUCUCUUCUUGUUCACUUUUGGUUUUUGUUCCCCUUUGGCCAAAUCUUGUUUCUUCUCUUUCCCCUCUCUUUUUGUUCUAUAUUUUUUUUGCGAGUC
rnacentral:lncRNA from 1 species